rnacentral:rRNA from 1 species
UGCUUAACACAUGCAAGUCGAACGAUGAAGCUCCAGCUUGCUGGAGUGGAUUAGUGGCGAACGGGUGAGUAACACGUGAGCAACCUGCCCCUGACUCUGGGAUAAGCGCUGGAAACGGCGUCUAAUACUGGAUAUGCACUGUAGCCGCAUGGUUUGCAGUGGGAAAGAUUUAUCGGUUGGGGAUGGGCUCGCGGCCUAUCAGCUUGUUGGUGAGGUAAUGGCUCACCAAGGCGUCGACGGGUAGCCGGCCUGAGAGGGUGACCGGCCACACUGGGACUGAGACACGGCCCAGACUCCUACGGGAGGCAGCAGUGGGGAAUAUUGCACAAUGGGCGCAAGCCUGAUGCAGCAACGCCGCGUGAGGGAUGACGGCCUUCGGGUUGUAAACCUCUUUUAGCAGGGAAGAAGCCUUCGGGUGACGGUACCUGCAGAAAAAGCGCCGGCU